rnacentral:sRNA from 1 species
UCUUUCUCUGUCUCUCUCUGUCUCUGCCCCAUCUCUGUCUGUCUCUGUCUCUGCCUCUCUCUGUUUCUCUCCAUCUCUCUGUCUCUGGCUCUGGCUCUGCCCAUCUCUGUCUGUCUCUGCCUCUCUCUGUUUCUCCCUAUCUCUCUUAUCGCUUGAACAAUUUAUGCAGCUCCUGCCCUGUGCUAGGUCCUGGGGACUCAAGGCUGAGGAGCAGCAGAAGCUCCCAUCCCUGAGUCUCACACCCUGGCUCCAUGCUAGUCCCUGUGGUCGGGCUGUCUCGAGGGCAGGACUGUGGCCCUGGCAGCCCUGCCAUCCUCAGCACAUCCUGCUGUGCUCUCCUCUGUGUCAUUAGCUGACACUGGGGACUUGCGGGGAGAGCAGAAGUGGAGACGGGUCUAAACCACUGGGCCAGGCAGGGCCAGGACAACAGAAACACUCGCCCCCUAAGAGUAACCGCUCUCUGCCCACAGAAACUCUCCUCCAGGGUCUUCCUGGAUCACAACGCCCUCCCCGACACCCUGAAAGUCACCUAUGACUCCUUCUGCAGCAAUGGAGUGACGCACAGGAACCAGCCCAGAGGUGACUGUGAUGGCGUGCAGAUCAAUGUCCCGAUCACCUUCCAGGUGAAGGUCACGGCCACAGAGUGUAUCCAGGAGCAGUCAUUUGUCAUCCGGGCGCUGGGCUUCACGGACAUAGUGACCGUGCGGGUCCUUCCCCAGUGCGAGUGCCGGUGCCGGGACCAGAGCAGAGACCGCAGCCUCUGCCAUGGCAAGGGCUUCUUGGAGUGCGGCAUCUGCAGGUGUGACACUGGCUACAUUGGGAAAAACUGUGAGUGCCAGACACAGGGCCGGAGCAGCCAGGAGCUGGAAGGAAGCUGCCGGAAGGACAACAACUCCAUCAUCUGCUCAGGGCUGGGGGACUGUGUCUGCGGGCAGUGCCUGUGCCACACCAGCGACGUCCCCGGCAAGCUGAUAUACGGGCAGUACUGCGAGUGUGACACCAUCAACUGUGAGCGCUACAACGGCCAGGUCUGCGGUGGCCCGGGGAGGGGGCUCUGCUUCUGCGGGAAGUGCCGCUGCCACCCGGGCUUUGAGGGCUCAGCGUGCCAGUGCGAGAGGACCACCGAGGGCUGCCUGAACCCGCGGCGUGUUGAGUGCAGUGGCCGUGGCCGGUGCCGCUGCAACGUAUGUGAGUGCCAUUCAGGCUACCAGCUGCCUCUGUGCCAGGAGUGCCCCGGCUGCCCCUCACCCUGUGGCAAGUACAUCUCCUGUGCCGAGUGCCUGAAGUUCGAAAAGGGCCCCUUUGGGAAGAACUGCAGCGCGGCGUGUCCGGGCCUGCAGCUGUCGAACAACCCCGUGAAGGGCAGGACCUGCAAGGAGAGGGACUCAGAGGGCUGCUGGGUGGCCUACACGCUGGAGCAGCAGGACGGGAUGGACCGCUACCUCAUCUAUGUGGAUGAGAGCCGAGAGUGCGUGGCAGGCCCCAACAUCGCUGCCAUUGUCGGGGGCACCGUGGCAGGCAUCGUGCUGAUCGGCAUCCUCCUGCUGGUCAUCUGGAAGGCUCUGAUCCACCUGAGCGACCUCCGGGAGUACAGGCGCUUUGAGAAGGAGAAGCUCAAGUCCCAGUGGAACAAUGAUAAUCCCCUUUUCAAGAGCGCCACCACGACGGUCAUGAACCCUAAGUUUGCUGAGAGUUAGGAGCACUUGGUGAAGACAAGGCCAUCAGGACCCACCAUGUCUGCCCCAUCACGCGGCCGAGACAUGGCUUGCCACAGCUCUUGAGGAUGUCACCAAUUAACCAGAAAUCCAGUUAUUUUCCGCCCUCAAAAUGACAGCCAUGGCCGGCCGGGUGCUUCUGGGGGCUCGUCGGGGGGACAGCCCCACUCUGACUGGCACAGUCUUUGCAUGGAGACUUGAGAAGGGAGGGCUUGAGGUUGGUGAGGUUAGGUGCAUGUUUCCUGUGCAAGUCAGGACAUCAGUCUGAUUAAAGGUGGUGCCAAUUUAUUUACAUUUAAACUUGUCAGGGUAUAAAAUGACAUCCCAUUAAUUAUAUUGUUAAUCAAUCACGUGUAUAGAAAAAAAAUAAAACUUCAAUACAGGCUGUCCAUGGAAA